UACGUAGGGGGCAAGCGUUGUCCGGAUUUAUUGGGCGUAAAGAGCGUGUAGGCGGCCAUGCAGGUCAGCUGUGAAAACUCGAGGCUCAACCUCGAGACGUCGGUUGAAACCGUAUGGCUAGAGUCCGGAAGAGGAGAGUGGAAUUCCUGGUGUAGCGGUGAAAUGCGCAGAUAUCAGGAGGAACACCAAUGGCGAAGGCAGCUCGCUGGGACGGUACUGACGCUGAGACGCGAAAGCGUGGGGAGCAAACAGG
rnacentral:rRNA from 1 species